AUUGAACGCUGGCGGCAGGCCUAACACAUGCAAGUCGAGCGGAUGAGAGGAGCUUGCUCCUCGAUUCAGCGGCGGACGGGUGAGUAAUGCCUAGGAAUCUGCCUAGUAGUGGGGGACAACGUUUCGAAAGGAACGCUAAUACCGCAUACGUCCUACGGGAGAAAGUGGGGGAUCUUCGGACCUCACGCUAUUAGAUGAGCCUAGGUCGGAUUAGCUAGUUGGUAGGGUAAAGGCCUACCAAGGCGACGAUCCGUAACUGGUCUGAGAGGAUGAACCGUCACACUGGAACUGAGACACGGUCCAGACGCCUACGGGAGGCAGCAGUGGGGAAUAUUGGACAAUGGGCGCAAGCCUGAUCCAGCCAUGCCGCGUGUGUGAAGAAGGCCCUCGGGUCGUAAAGCACUUUAAGUUGGGAGGAAGGGCUUACAGCGAAUACCUGUGAGUUUUGACGUUACCGACAGAAUAAGCACCGGCUAACUUCGUGCCAGCCGCCGCAGUAA
rnacentral:rRNA from 1 species